GACGUAGGGCGCGAGCGUUGUCCGGAUUUAUUGGGCGUAAAGAGCUCGUAGGCGGCUUGUCGCGUCGACUGUGAAAACCCAUGGCUCAACCAUGCGGUCUGCAGUCGAUACGGGCAGGCUAGAAUUCGGUAGGGGAGACUGGAAUUCCUGGUGUAGCGGUGAAAUGCGCAGAUAUCAGGAGGAACACCGGUGGCGAAGGCGGGUCUCUGGGCCGAUGAUUGACGUGAGGAGCGAAAGCGUGGGGAGCGAACGGAUAGAAACCCUGG
rnacentral:rRNA from 1 species